CAAUUUGGACAAACAAAGUACCAACCUUCAGCUGUGAAAGAAGGUUUCUCAAAAAUUGAGAAAUCAAAAAGUCCUGCUGUCUGACAAAAGCUACACUGACAUCGCAGAACUUGAAAGAAGGGGACGUGACCUACUGGCCACAGAAGCUAUUGCCUUUGUCCAGCACGCUGUGCAAAGGGAGGAGUUAGAGAAUAUUUCCGAUGUGUCCAUGUUCAGCAACAACAGUGCUGUUGCAACAGGAAGAGUCAUUAGUUAUCCUUUGGAUAUAGCGGGAAUCGAGGAAUCUAAAAAAG